GUGGGUGAACCACACGUGCGCGUACGGGGCCAAGCCGCGACCCCAUGCCACCGCCGCUCCGGUGCUGGUUCAUUCUCGAAACCCUCGGUCCCCUUUCUCUUCCCCGAGGAACAUCACUUCCACCAUUGCGUUCUAUAGUUUAUAUUAGCUAGUUGGUGAGGUAAUAGCUUACCAAGGCGAUGAUGAGUAGCUGGUCCGAGAGGAUGAUCAGCCACACUGGGACUGAGACACGGCCCAGACCCCUACAGGAGGCAGCAGUGAGGAAUUUUCCGCAAUGGGCGAAAGCCUGACGGAGCAAUGCCGCGUGGAGGUGGAAGGCCUACGGGUCGUCAACUUCUUUUCUCGGAGAAGAAACAAUAUUAGGGUGAUAAAAUUGGCAACCUAGGUAUACGCGUAGGACUUGUAAACUGAAACGGAGGUAGUAUUAUGUAUUAGUA
rnacentral:ncRNA from 1 species